AUACGGAGGGUACGAACGUUAAUCGGAAUUACUGGGCGUAAAGCGCGCGUAGGUGGUUCGGUAAGUGGGAUGUGAAAGCCCCGGGCUCAACCCGGGAACUGCAUUCCAAACUGCCGGGCUAGAGUAUGGUAGAGGGAGGUAGAAUUUCCUGUGUAGCGGUGAAAUGCGUAGAUAUAGGAAGGAAUACCGGUGGCGAAGGCGGCCUCCUGGACCAAUACUGACACUGAGGUGCGAAAGCGUGGGGAGCAAACGGGAUUAGAAACCCCGGUAGUCC
rnacentral:rRNA from 1 species